GAGAGAAGGAAGAAUUUCUGGAGUAGAGAUAAAAUUUGAUGAUACCAGGAGGACUGUCAACGGCGAAGGCGUCCUUCUAUGUAAUAACUGACGUUGAGAGACGAAGGCUUGGGUAGCAAACAGGAUUAGAUACCCUAAUAGUCCAAGCAGACAAUGAUGAAUGUCAUACAUUAGAUAUAACUUUAAUGUAUAAACGAAAGUGUAAGCAUUCCACCUCAAGAGUACUAUGGCAACAUAUAAACUGAAAUCAUUAGACCGUUUCUAAAACCAGUAGUGAAGUAUGUUAUUUAAUUCGAUGAUCCGCGAAAAACCUUACCACAGCUUGUAUAGCAGAUUAUAAAAAAUUGUUACAAGCGCUGCAUGGCUGUCUUUAGUUAAUGUCGUGAGAUUUGGUUAAUUCCUUUAAUUAACGAAAACCCUCACUUUAUUUAUUUAUAUAAAGUGGUUCGCUACUACAUCGGACCAGAUAAAAGGGAUUAAGACAAGUCAUUAUGGCCUUAAUGCUGUGGGCUAUAGACGUGCCACAUACGCCUUUACAACGGGAUGCGAUAUUGUGAAAUGGAGCUAAUCCCCAAAAAAGGAAAUAAUAUGGAUUGUAGUCUGUAACUCGACUACAUGAAAAAGGAAUUACUAGUAAUCGUGAAUCACCAACGUCACGGUGAAUUUUAUCUUAGUUAGGUACUAACCACUCGUCAGGCGCUGAAAAAAGAAGAUGCAGUAAGUUUGAUUUUUUCUGUGUAAAGUUAUAUAUAUUUAUGAUAUAUAAAUAUGCAGGAUAGUUUUCGUAUGCAAAACUUUGAUUGGUGUUAAGUCGAAAUAAGGUUCGUGUAAUGGAAAUUGCACGGGGAGUAUAAAAUUU
rnacentral:ncRNA from 1 species